rnacentral:rRNA from 1 species
ACGGAAGGCAGCAGUGGGGAAUAUUGCACAAUGGGGGAAACCCUGAUGCAGCGACGCCGCGUGAGUGAAGAAGUAUUUCGGUAUGUAAAGCUCUAUCAGCAGGAAAGAAAAUGACGGUACCUGACUAAGAAGCACCGGCUAAAUACGUGCCAGCAGCCGCGGUAAUACGUAUGGUGCAAGCGUUAUCCGGAUUUACUGGGUGUAAAGGGAGCGUAGACGGCAUAGCAAGCCAGAUGUGAAAGGUGGGGGCUCAACCCCCAAGCUGCAUUUGGAACUGUUAAGCUAGAGUAUCGGAGAGGUAAGUGGAAUUCCUAGUGUAGCGGUGAAAUGCGUAGAUAUUAGGAGGAACACCAGUGGCGAAGGCGGCUUACUGGACGAUAACUGACGUUGAGGCUCGAAAGCGUGGGGAGCAAACAGGAUAAGAUACCCUGGUA